rnacentral:lncRNA from 10 species
UGAGUAACGUGAGGAUUAGAGAGUUCACAUACCUAAUGGAGUCAACCCAUAAGUAAAAGGAGAAUUUGAACCUGAAUCCGAUGGACUCUAACACCCCAUAACUGUACGUCUACUCCAACCCUCCUGGAUGAGAGAGAUAUGGAGAAAGAAUUAUGUUAGAAGAGCUGAGAAGUUUAUCUCCUUCACCAACAAGUGGAAGCUAAGAGACAGUGGAAAACUUUCAAAGCCAACUAAGCAUUGUGUAUGUUGCUAAAAAGUACUGUACAAAAAAAGUGGAUCAAAAAACUAUUUUAUUCUAGCAGAAAAGAAAUGUUCCCUGGAAGAAAAGGGAAGAAAAGAAAGAAUCCUGGAAUAGGGUGUUUAAUUAAAGCAAUGCUAUGUGCAG